AGAGUUUGAUCCUGGCUCAGAAUGAACGCUGGCGGCGUGCUUAACACAUGCAAGUCGAACGAGAAAGGGAUUGCUUGCAAUCCUGAGUAGAGUGGCGCACGGGUGAGUAACACGUAGAUAAUCUACCUUCAAGCCCGGGAUAACUAUUCGAAAGGAUGGCUAAUACCGGAUGAAGUGUAUUAACACAAGUUAAGCCAUGAAAGAUUGCCUCUUCUUGAAAGCAAUUGUUUGGAGUUGAGUUUGCGGACCAUUAGUUAGUUGGUGGGGUAAAGGCCUACCAAGGCAACGAUGGUUAGCUGGUCUGAGAGGAUGAUCAGCCACACUGGAACUGGUACACGGUCCAGACUCCUACGGGAGGCAGCAGUGAGGGAUUUUGCGCAAUGGGGGGAACCCUGACGCAGCAACGCCGCGUGAGUGAAGAAGGCCUUUGGGUUGUAAAGCUCUGUCGACAGGGAAGAAGUUAACAUUAUCCAAUAGGUAGUGUUAUUGACGGUACCUGUAGAGGAAGCACCGGCUAACUCUGUGCCAGCAGCCGCGGUAAUACGGGGGGUGCAAGCGUUAUUCGGAAUUAUUGGGCGUAAAGGGCGCGUAGGCGGUUUUGUCGGUCAGAUGUGAAAGCCCGGGGCUCAACCCCGGAAGUGCAUUUGAAACAGCAAGACUUGAGUACGGGAGAGGAAAGCGGAAUUCCUGGUGUAGAGGUGAAAUUCGUAGAUAUCAGGAGGAACACCGAUGGCGAAGGCAGCUUUCUGGACCGAUACUGACGCUGAGGCGCGAAGGCGUGGGUAGCGAACGGGAUUAGAUACCCCGGUAGUCCACGCAGUAAACGAUGUUCACUAGGUGUAUCGGGUAUUAAAAUCUGAUGUGCCCAAGCUAACGCAUUAAGUGAACCGCCUGGGGAGUACGGUCGCAAGACUAAAACUCAAAGGAAUUGACGGGGGCCCGCACAAGCGGUGGAGCAUGUGGUUUAAUUCGACGCAACGCGAA
rnacentral:rRNA from 1 species